AGCAGCAGUGACACCAUAUUUCCUGGUCUAAGGUUGACUGUGUGCGUUUCCUUCCACAGAGCCCAGGGACGCCCCGUCUGAGGUGAAAGCUUCCAGCAUUUCCUCUAAGGAAAUUAAGGUCACUUGGAGACCGAUCAACCCUGGUCCUGGGAGACCACGGGGAUACGAGGUGAGCUACAGGAAGGACAGUGAGCAGGAGGAGUCAGGGAAGAAGAAGAAGACAGCAGGGAACGAGACGUCUAUGGUGCUGACAGGGUUGGAGGGGAACAGUGUGUACGUCAUCACAGUCAGAGGCUUCAACAGUAUCGGCCAGGGCCCUGCAUCAACCUCUAGCACCGCCAAGACCAAGAAAGAUCCUCCAGUCCAGCCUCCAGCCAACCUCAUGUGGAUUCAGGAAGGAACUAACGUGUCUCUAAACUGGGAGCCGGUCAAGUCUAAAGACAACGAGUCAGAUGUCAUAGGAU